CAUAGUUCAAGGAGGAACCUUAAAUACAUUUUGCUAGGUGAAAGAAGCUAAUCUGAAAAGGUUACAGACUAUGUAAUUCCAAUUAUAGGACAUUCUGGAAA